GCGGACGUGGCGAAACGGUAGACGCAACGGACUUAAAAUCCGUUGGCCGCUAAGGCCGUGGGAGUUCGAAUCUCCCCGUCCGCACCA
rnacentral:tRNA from 1 species